AAGACUAUACUUCACAGGAUCAUUUCUGUAGUAUAUCUUCAAUCGUUUCUAUGUCAAAAUAGAAGCAAAACAAACCACGAUGAAGAGAUGUGGUGCUUUACCUGAAAGCGUGAGGGAGACUCAUGGAUUGAUGUAAAUCGAACCAUGAGUUGUCGAUGAUCGCUGGCUUGUUUAUUCAGGCUUGGGUAGGGUGCUUUCUGAGUGGC